UCGGGUAUGGUGUAGCGGUAACAUCGCUGACUCUCAUCACAGGUGAGAUCAACUCAGCAGCCCGGGGUUCGACUCCCCGUAUCCGAG